rnacentral:tRNA from 1 species
UCCCUGGUAGCUCAGUUGGUUAGAGCGGCGGACUGUUAAUCCGUAGGUCGAAGGUUCGAGUCCUUCUCGGGGAG